rnacentral:lncRNA from 1 species
GCCCCAGCAAGCAGGGAAGACCCUCCUUCAUGUCAGUAUCCUAGUGCCUGGUACAGUGCCUGCCAUGGAGCAGACCUCAACAAAGCUGUUAAAUUCAAAUGAGCCACAAGAAGACUAUGUGCUCAGUAGACACUGGGAUUCCAUUUUUUUUUUUUUUUGAGACAGGGUCUUGCUCUGUUGCCCAGGACGGAGUGCAGUGGUGCUACUACAGCUCACUGCAACUUCUGGGCUCAAGCGAUCCUCCAGCGAUCCUCCUGCCUCAGCCUCCCAAGUAGCUGGGACUACAGAUGUGUGCCACCACACCUAGCUAGUUUUUUGUUUUGUUUUUUGUAGAGAUGGGGUUUUGUCAUGUUGCCCAGGCUGGUCUUGAACUCCUGGACUUAAGCAUCUGCCCACCUCAGCCUUCCAAAAUGCUGGGAUUACAUGGGAUCCCUUCAUAGUUCAAAUCAGAGUCCUGAAGAAAUCAAAGUUUCAAGAGCCAACAUCAGACCGUUCUGGCUCUGAUCUGAAACUAUAGAUCCAUGGUUCUCAGCCUUCUCUUUGCAUCAAAUUCAGCUGGAGUUUUAAAAGAUACAGAUACUAAGUCCCUACCCCUAGCAAUUGUGAUAUAAUAGAUCUGGGGUGGGGCCUGGGCCAUGGUGGGUAUUAAAAGCUCUGCUGUGCAGCCAGGGUUGAGAUCUUCAGCUGCAGCUCAGGGGGAUCCACCACGUCACACAGGGCUCCUAGUCCAAGAGCUGCUGGGAGAAUCAGGGACCUGGCUCAUAGGGAUCAUUGAGAGAAUAAUCCUCUCAGCUGCUGAGCACUGGUGCCCCCUGCCCCAUCUGGUUGACUCUUACUCCAGGGUGCUAUAAAAAUAGCAUUUUCCAUGUGUGCCAUGAAGGCAAAAAGGUUGGGAAGGGCUGAUGGAAUGAAUACUCACUAGCCCACUGUGCAUGUUCCAGAGUCAGGGCUAGGAGACUUGCGCAUGUUGACUUAUUUAGCUUUCACAACACACCCAUGGCAGGAAGUUUGUGAUUCCUAUUUUUCUCAUGAGAAAAACAAGCCCAGAGGUUAAGUCCCUACCCAAGGCCACAGAGAUGGAAAGUGAUAGUAUCAUGGGACUCCAGCCCCAGAGGUAACUCACUACACACUGGAGCUAUGCAGGAAAUCUCUGUCUAAGCAACUGAGUACUUCAGGGACAGGCAAAGAGGAAGGAGAAAGGAGGAGAGAGACAGUGAGAGGAAGAAAAGGGGAUCUGGGGAAAAGGGGAAAGAAAGAAGAGGCAAGAUUGGGGAGGGCAUAAGUAGCUUCACAGGGCUGUCCCAAGAGUUCUGAGUGAAGGGCUGGGCACAGUGGCUCAUACCUGUAAUCCCAGCACUUUGGGAGGCUGAGGUGGAUGGACCACGAGGUUAGGAGUUCAAGACCAGUCUGGCCAACAUGGUGAAACCCUGUCUCUACUAAAAAUACAAAAUUAGCCAGGUGUGGUGGUGGGUGCCUGUAAUCCCGGUUACUCGGGAGGCUGAGGCAGGAGAAUUGCUUAACCUGGGAGGUGGAGGUUGCAGUGAGCCAAGAUCACGCCACUGCACUCCAGACUGGGUGACAGAGCAAGACUCUGUCUCAAAAAAAAAAAAAAAAGAGUUCUGAGUGAAAAGUGACAUUCUCCAGUAUACCUCAGUCUGGGGGAGGGUGAGCAGGGGAGCCCUGGCAUUCCAUAGGAGGAAUGCAGACACAGGUUGUGCAGAGUGGAGAGCCUGAGGCUGCUCCCCUGGAUGCCUAUUCAACCUCAAUGCCAGGGUCAGAUGGAUGAAAUGGACCUACAGCACUUAGCCUCAGGCUUGCUGUGUGGACUUAACACAUCUGGAUUAUGGUGGGUGCUUAGUAAAUGUCAGUCUAUCAGCCUGCCCCUCUCUCAUUCCUUCUGGUUCCCCCAGAUCUAAGCUGAGCCAGAGCCCCUGGAUCAGGGAUACUCACAGGAUGUAGGUGAUGACGCCUAUGCUCCUGCAAAAUAAAGAACAGUCAAGUCAGGGCCACCUGGGUCCCAUCCCCGACCAGCAAGGGACACCCUCAUGGAUCUAAGGGGAAGAGGUCACUUGCCUCCUCCACAGCAGACCCUGGAUGCCGUCUCAUGCUCCACACCCAUCUCCAUCCUGCUCUUCAGCAGCAGCCCGGGGUGUGUUUGGAGUCAUCGAGCUCUGAACCCUGAGUCCGAAGACCCAAGUUCAAGAUCAGACUCCUGCACUUGCAGGCUGUGUGAUUUAGAUGACACUUUUUAAAAGCUUGGAGAUCAUGGAGGCAAAAAAGAGGACAGUAGCUUGAGAAGGAGGAAGGACUGAGCCCAUUCAACUGCGAAUGGAAAAGGUGGAGAGUGGGAAAGUGUAUUUGUCUUCCCUGACUGCUUUGUCUUGGUACCCUUCAGUUUCACUAUAAUGUGUCUAGGUAAGAUUUUUGUUUUUUUCUGCCUGGUAUAUAUUGUCCUUUCUGUGUCUGUGGAUGCAUGGAUGCAGUUCUGAAAAUUCUCAGCCAUUCUCUUCAAAUAGUGCUUCUCCUUUUUUUCUUUUUGUAUCUAUUUCCUCCUUUUAGAAUUCCAAAGAGAUCUAUGAUAAGUUUUCUUUUUAUCCUCUUUUGCUUAUCCUCUCUUUCAUAUUUCUAUGUCUUUGUCACUCUAUGGUGCUCUAGCUAAUUUGUUUCAGCUCUUUCAAUUCUUCAACUCUCUCCUUAGCUGUAUACAAUCUGCUGUUUAACCCAUUCACAGAGUUUUACAUUUCAACAAUUAAAUUCUUUAAAGUUCUAUCAUCCUGUUCUUUUUAAAAUUCAUCUGGUCAUUUUUGACACCUCUUGUUGCUUGCUCAUUCUUGUGAGUCUACCUUUUAUUUCUAUGUAUAUAAAAUGUACUUUAAUAUUUAUAUUCCACUAGUGUAUAUAUUCCAUCCAUCAGAUGUUACAGUCAACAUCUGAUAAUUUCAGUAUCUUAUGUCCUUGAACAUCUAAAUUUUGCUAGUCUCUAACUGAAGUGGCGACAAGUGCACUUGCCUCUAGUGGAGUUCCUUCUGUUGAAUUUUCUUGCUGCUCACUGCUCUAGCUCUAGGUUCAACUCAUCAGCUUUUGGGGGUGGGACAGGUGGUGCUGAAGGAGUUACUAUGUUUAAAGAUUUCUCUGGCCAGGAGCGGUGGCUCGCUGGCUCACGUCGGUAAUCCCAGCACUUUGGGAGGCCAAGGCAGGGGGAUCACUUGAGGUCAGGAGUUCGAGACCUGCCUGGCCAACAUGGUGAAACCCUGUCUCUACUAAAAAUACAAAAAUUAGCCAGACGUGGUGGUGGGUGCCUGUAAUCCCAGCUACUAGGGAGGCUGAGGCACAAGAAUCACUUGAACCCAGGAGGCGGAGGUUGCAGUGAGCUGAGAUCACACCACUGCACUCCAUGGGUGACAGAGUGAGACUCUGUCUCAAUAAAUAAAUAAAAAUAAAGAUUUCUCUUAUUUCCUGUGAGACCAGAAUUUCAUGAAAAAGAAAAUUUUUCUCAAGAAUCCAGUUUUGUAAGCCGGGCAUGGUGGUUCACGCCUGUCACCCAGCACUUUGGGAGGCUGAGGUGGGAGGAUCACUUGAAUCCGGGAGUUUGAGAUCAGCCUGGGCAAUAUAGUGAGACCCCACCUCAAAAAAAUUUUUAAAAAAUUGCCAGGCAUAAUGGUGCAUGCCUGUAGACCAAGCUACUCAGGAGGCUGAGGUGGGAGGAUUACUUGAGCCCAGGACAUUGAAUCUGCAGUGAGGUAUGAUUGCAUCACUGCACUCCAGCCUGGGUGACAGAGUGAGACCCUGUCUCAAAAAAAAAAAAAAAAAAAAAUCCAAUUUUGUAGGAGGAGGGCUUUUCAGAACACCUAAUCCACCCUAGUACUAAAAGCUGACACUAAUUUUUUAACCCUGGGUCUGAGGUUAGAAUAUCAAAGGAAUGGUGGGAGCAGGGGAAAAUGGUUAUAACCUGUUUCUCAGGGGUCUUGGGAAAGAAAGUCAUCACAAUUUAGCCAAGAGGUUGGAGAAGUCAUCUUAUAUAUUUUAAGGUAAAACAAAACCAGUGCAAACAAAACCAUACUGGCUCACAAAAGCCAAUGAGGUAUAUGUCUUUCCAACUCUGUGUUGAGUGACAACAUGCCAGUACCUUGAAAUUGGCCAAUGCUAUAAAUUAGGGAAUUUUUUUUUGAGACCUGGUUAUUGGAUAUUUAUCAGCAUACCACUGGGCAAAACUCUCCAUUGUAUAGCCUCAUCCAUCAAUAACCCACUCACACUAACAGUCUAGUGUGAACUCUGGGCUCCAUUUGGAGUGGACAGUGACUUGUCCCUGAUAAAUGCCUUACUCUGGCCUUACUUCCCUGGUAGGGUAUCAGUGAACCUGGGAGGUGUUCCUCCCCUCCUCUGGCUCCCUCCCCACCCCUCUUCAGAGACCUCUCCCACUCCAACACCAGCCCUUUUCCUCUCACUCACUCAAGGCCAUGACUGAUCCCAUUGACUUUGCCAGAGUGGGUAUCUCAUAUGAACAGUCUUUUCAGAACAUCUAUUUUACUUGCUUUACACUUAAUCACAUCCUGUCUUGUGAUACCUCUUCCUUAUUGCUCUCAGUUUCUAGUUGUUUAUUGUUAUUUAACAAUUAUAAUAAACUUAAUAGACAUGCAUUUUUACCACAUAUGUGAAUGGUGGGUAGCAACUGCUCUUUCAGACAAAGCUCAAGUCUAGAUGUCUGUGCCCCAGGUUUAAGUUGGCUCUGCCACCAACUUGUGACCUUGGGUGUGUCAUUCUGAGUAUGGCUCCUUAACAUCGCUGUGUCCCCCAUACAUCACCUAAUAUCUGUCAUACAGUAGGUGACAAAUAACCUGAGUUUACCUUAACUAAAAUCCCCCAGCCUGCCAUCUCCACGUGUGUUAAACUGGACCAGAAAAUCUAAAAAGAUCCUUCUGGCACUCUUUUUUGAUGGUUUGAUGCCUUGUUUCUACAACUAAAUUGUAAGCUCUUUGAGGGCAGGGUUUGUUAGAGAGACAACCUGGCAUAAUGGGAAGAGCACAGGCUUUGCUGUUGGCUGUAUCUGUAUUUGAAUCUCAGCUCCACUGCCUACUGGUUGGGUUGCCUUGAACAAGGCACCUGUUGGAGAAAAUAAUUAACUCUGCUUCAUGAAGCCAUUUGGGGAUAAUUAAGACAAUGUUUGUAGAGCAUGAGACAUAGUGCCUGGCACACAGCAAGGGCUUCCUGCCCUGGGAUCUGUGGGGUCUCUGAGCAGCAUUCUACGGUGGCUGCAGAGCCUGAAAAUCCACCAGGUGGUUGGUCUGACACAUUCUUUCUUUUUUAUUUGACUGUGGUCAGAAGUUUUAGCACCCAGAUUUUGAGGACAUCAUGCCCUCCCUAUCUCCAAGACCACUCCAACUCCCAAAGCAGAUAAACAGAUGGUGGUUCUCAGCGCUCAUUCCUUCCCCCUCUACAGGCUAUUUCUUCAUGACCCCAAUCUCCGGCCCAAGCCCUAUAAGGAGGCUUCUGGGGUACAGAAUGGGCAGGGGCCUGGGCCAAGGGUGACAGAAACAGAGGGAAGAGGAAGCAGCCAGGGCCCCACUGGAGCUGGGCACCCCCAUGCAUGAAUAAAGCCAGGCAUAGAGGAGAGGCGAGUGGGUGGAUGUGGUAUUUGGCAGAUGAUUUCCUUUUUCCUUUUCAGGAAAUCAAAAGCUAGUUCAGAGAAGGUUGAGUUUAUGGGAAUUCAAGAGGGCGAGGUAAUUUUAAGUCUUCACAAGAAUAAACUCAUCUAAGAGCACGAGGUGGGGCCAGCGCUACAAGGGUUUAACCUUACAGGCUGUAGCCCCACUGAGAGCCACUGGGCCCCACUCAGCCCUUGCCUCACUGAGCACUCAAAGCCUACACCUGGGCCCUCAUCCCCAGGCCCAAUAAGACAUUUCCUUCCCCACCCAUUAGGUUUCUAGAGAUGUCCCAAUGCAUCAUCUCUUUGCUCAGAGGCCAUAGCCCCAGACACAGGUUUCUUCCCAGGAUCCCUACCUUUGAUGCCAGAUUCUUAGCUGAAAGACAAACAGGCCUACAACUCACCAACAAAUUCCGGCGUCCCAAAAAUAUUCUUAAAUUCAACUCCAUCUUCUAUUUCGUGAGCCAGACCAAAGUCAAUCAGCUUGAUGUGUGGAAUGGGAAUAUUCUUGUCUAACAACAUAAUGUUUUCUGGCUGGACAACAAAAAGUAGAAAAAAAAAAAAGGAAGGAAGAAAAGAAAAAAAAAGACGGUAAUUAAAGGCUGGUUGGUUCGUGUUUUGGCUUUGGGGUUUGGGGUGGGACUUGGUGUUCUUUUUAGGAGACUGAAACAGCAUAAACUCUUCCUUGUUUUUGGUCCUCAGUCUUCUCUGUGAACCCAAAGACAGGUAAAGCAUUGAGGGCAAGGCCUGGGUUUUACCAAACCUUCUGCUCACAGCAGAACUGAAGACUCCAGCCUUCAUCUCCAUUCUGUCUCUGAGUGGCAGAUCCCUUUAAUGCAGUGCCUCUGUUUUCCUAUCUGUCAAAUGGGGCCAAUGAGAUACUUGCAGCAUUUCCUGUAAACAAACCCAGCACUGCUGUGUGGGUGUGAAAGGGACGGGGACAUCCCAGCUUAGCCUCUGUUUAUACUUGGCUUACUGACCUUGGUCUUCCUGACCGCCUCUUUCCCCUGGCCAGCCAACUUCCUGUUGACAACAUUCCCCUCCUCUAGACUCACUGUGUAGCCCACACUUCUCUCUGCGUUUAACUAAUUUUGGUCCUCAGCAGGACACAGGAAAAAUGCACCCGAUUUCCAGGGAAAAUACCAGCUGCUCAGGCUAUUUCCAGCCCAGCAAGCAGCUGCCAGGUCUGACACAACAAUGCAGGUGGGUGCAGGGUAGGGGACAGCCCCUCACACACCCAUGGGCCUGGCCCUCACACACCCCAGACUCCCAGUGAGGCUGCAAUGGAAUCCUGAGCUCUCCCUUCUCACUCCCACCCAACCACUCAGACUACGGUCCCCUCUGCCUCACCCACUUUCUCCCACUCCACACAACUUUCCUUCACUCCACUCUAAAGGAAAUGUCCUGAAAACACACAUCCACACAAAAUAUGUAUACAAAUGUUCACAGCAGCAUAUUCCCAAUAUCCCUGAAGGGGAAACAGUGAAUGAAUGGAUAAACAAGAUGUGAACACCCAUAGCACAUCUAGUAUCCACAUGUGAAUUCGAUUUGGCCAUAAAAAGGAAUGAAGCCAAAGAAAAAAAUAAAAAGGAAUGAAGUACUGCUGGGCGCGGUGGCUCAUGCCUGUAAUCCCAGCACUUUGGGAGGUCGAGGUGGGUGGAUUACUUGAGGUCAGGAGUUUGAGACCAGCCCGGCCAACAUGGCAAAACCCCUGUCUCUACUAAAAAUACAAAAGUUAGGUGGGUGUGGUGGCGCACGCCUGUAGUCCCAGCUGCUCGGGAGGCUGAGGCAGGAGAAUCACUUGAACCCAGGAGGUGGAGGUUGCAGUGAACCAAGAUCGUGCCACUGCACUCCAGCCUGGGCAACAGAGUGAGUCUCUGUCUCAAUUAAUAAAUAAAUAAAUAAAUAAAUAAAAUGAAAUAUAAAAAGGAAUGAAGUACUGAUACCUGCUACAGCAGCAAGGAACCUUGAAAACAUUUAUGCUAAGGGAAAGAACCAGUCAUAAAAGACAAAAAAUAUUCCAUUGAUACAAAAUACCCAGCAUAGGCAAAUCCACAGAGACAGAAAGUAGAUUAGUAGUCCCCUAGGAUUGGGGGAAUGGAGAGAUGGGGAGUACAAGGUUUCUUUUCUAUUUUCUAUAAACUAUGGUGGUGUUGGUUAUAUAACUUUGUAAACGGUACACAUUAAGUGAAUAAAUUAUAUAGUAUGUGAAUUAUAUCUCCAUAAAGCUAUUAAAUAAAUAAAUAUUUAAGAAAAUCAAACAUCCCUGUUUCUUAAAGCACUGAAGGGUUUCCACAGCUUGCACCUUUGUUCACACCAUCUGCUCUGCCUGGAAAGCCUUCUGUUCAGUCUCUGUCCAUUGAAAUCCUAGCUGGGCUUCAAAGUCUAACUCAACCCACUGUGUUCUUGCAGACUUUCCUCAGCAACCCUGAGCACCCUCCACCACCCCCAGGAGUGAGCCCCACCCCGCUCCAGGCCCCACCAGGCUUAUUUGAACCUUUCUGUGAUGACAUUUGGCAUGCUUUCUCUUGUCCAGCGGCCCUUUGCUGUUUUUAUCAUAGCUCCCCUACCAGAGCUGUCCUCAGCCGGAAGGAGGACUCAGAUCUUUGCAUCUUUGCCCCUGCAAUGCAGAGCACAGCAGCUGGCAUGCUGAGGGUGACCCUAGCUGUUAGCUGAACUGAUAGUGAAUCUGGACAGAUGCCUUCUCCCAGGUCCCCCUGGCUGCCUAUGGUCUCUGUGACCUUCCAGCUGGAAACUUCCACUCAAGGGAGCUGACUGAGGCCUUCCUUGGCUUUUUUUCCUUUUUUUAAAAAAAAUAAAUAACACAUUUCCUUUUGCAUUUUUUUUGCUUUUUUAUUCUUCUUCCCCUCUGGAGAUUACUCUCAACACUGUUUUGAAAAUGUGU